AUCCACGCGCGCGCGAUUGAUGUAAUCUCGUGUGAUUCCACGUGAUAUGCCUAUUUUGUUCCUUUUUUCUUUUUUUUUUUCUCAGACAGUCGUAGCCAUGACUUUUAUUCGCGAACUGCCCGUCGUUGUAUGGGUUUUAAUAACGGUGGACAGAUGACAGGGUCAGGCAUUUAAAGAUAAAAGAAAAAUCUUAAUAAAAGGAAAGACGAGUAGUUUGGUGAACGUCCUUAUUAACCGUGGAAGAGUUGGCGUCUUUUUUUCGCGUCUCGUGAAUUUAGACGUCUGCGCCGUUGAGCCGAAAGGGAUCGCUGUAGGCGCUGCUAAAAAGCGAGCGAUCCGGGUCACGUGUCCCCGGAGCCGGAGGAGGGAUGACGCAGGUACGCGGCGGGCCAAUACAGAGUCCGGGGGUCGUUGAUGGUGGUGAUGAUGAGGAUGAGGAGGACCGAUGACUACUCAGGAAAGAACAUGUUUCAUUUAGUAACUUUUAUUUAAAAAUAGAGAACAACAAAAUAACCAACCAGAUCCAAUAAUAGUGAUUAUAACUGUAGGCCAGGAAAGUGUACAUGUAGAUGUAUUUAGCUAAAGUCAUACAUGUUUUGUCAUUUAUUUGAUCUGUAAUAAUGAUCUUGACCUACAGAUUGCAGACUGCUCCGCUGGGGGACGCGAUAAAUGGCCGGCGCCCUGUCAUCUGUAACCAGCGCGGACGGGAGCGGGUCCGACUGACGUCAAUACCCCCUGAUAGCCAAUUAUCGGUGACCUGGUGCUGGCUAGACGGAGGAGGUGAUUGGCUGCUCGCUGGCCCAGAGGUGGUGAUGGGAGCCGGACAGGGAGAUUGAUGGAGGGCAGACGGCCACUGAGGGAAUGAGCUCAGCUCUUUGAAGUCCUGCAGAAGGGAAGUAAAUUGAUAUAUCAGUUUAAGCCCCAGUCCCUAUUAGAGCCACCCCUGUCAGGUUAAUGCGAUAGCCUCCACAUUACCCUCCAACCUCUUUCAGGACCAGGGGCCCUAAUUCCUGCCUCCUGCUAGCGGGAAUCCCAUUUGGGUUCUCCAUCAGAAGUGUUCCUCUCAUCGGAGUGCCUCUGAUGGGGAGUAAAUCACAGAAGCAAAGUUUUCUUGGCCCAUCGCUCUCCAUGACUGAUUUAAUACACUCUGUUUUUGUGCUAAUCGCCAGGCCGGGAUUACUGCUCAUAGGACAUCUUUUGGGCCAGAAGUGCUGCAUGCUUUUAGCAGUCCAGACAUGCCCCCCCCCUCUGCUCCUGCACAACAGACUCCCAUGAUUCCCUGUGUCGCCUCAGCCAGGCCUACCGAGGGCCCACACUCGAAACACUGCAGCCAAAGCCCCAGCCAGAUCCGCCCCCAGAACGCAGAGGUGAGGCAAGGGCCCAUUCAUAUUUAAUGGCAUGCAGAAACACAUUUACAUUAAAAAUGUAGAGAGGUGUCUUUUUAAUUCAGACACCCUGUAUUUAUUAUUAAACCUUUGUCUUUGGGGUCAGAUCAUGGGAUAUUGGCUGUCUGUCAGCGUUCCAGCCCAGUCUGUUUAAAUGUGUGGUCUUACACUUUACCACAUGUGACCCGUAUGGGUCAGCCUUUUCUUUAGAUUGGCCAUAUCUGUAAAAAAGACAUGAAUAUAUUCCCUUGUUAAAAAGACACAUGUGCACAACAAAUUCUACUGAUACAACAUCUUGUUGGUCUUUGACAUGUUCCAAUCUAGUAGUCUACUGUCUUCAAAUAAUAGCACAUCAUUUGCUAACAUUAUGUGUUCCUAGAGAUUAUUUUCCUAUUACAGAAAAUCCAAGCAUUGUAUAAUUAAUAUGAGUAAUGUGUUUAUAUUUUUUAUGUUUAUGUGUACACGUGACACACCUCAGAUUAAACUAAUGAAAUGCUGAUAAAAUGCAUUGCUCAUGUCUGGGUCUGUCUUAUUUAAAUGCUGCAUUAACAUUGUUCAUUUUAUCAAUUAUAGUUUCUUGAUGUUUUUUCUUUUGUAACCCUUUAAACAUGUACAUGUUUCCUGGCUCAGCCACAAUGAGUAAGUCAAAAAUGUAUAUUCUUAUAAAGGUUUCUUUUAAACCUCCUGGAACAUUUAGGUUCUUUAAUUUCAUUAUGUGGGUUUGAUUCUUCUGGCUGUGGGCCAGGGUACUUUAAACAUUCAUUUCAUGAGACAGACAGUUGAUAUUCACACAGGCGCCUGAAUACAUAAAUAUAUUUAUAAAAUAGAUGGGUCCUCUGCUAAGUACUGUAUACCUCUUCUCUACAUUUUUGGUUUGGAAUGAGGUACAGUAAUGCACAUAAAUAAAUGCACACAUGCACAAUGACGCA
ensembl:lncRNA